ensembl:snRNA U6 U6 spliceosomal RNA
GAGCUUGUUUCAGCAGUACAUAGACUAAAAUGGGAAAGAUACAGAGAUUAGCAUGGCCCCUGUGUAAGGAUGACAGGCAAAUUCACAAACCACCCCAUAUUUUU